UUUUUGUUUAUUUUUUUUCCAAAGACUUUUUAUUUCCAGAAGAAUGUGACUGUCAUUGCCAUGUGAAAGACAUAACCUGUAAGUCAUGGAUGAUACCCCAGACAGGUUCCAUCUUCUCCCAGACAAAGAUACAAGGCAGCAGUAUGUAUGAUUAUGUUCCUUCCUCCCCAUCCACUAUAUCCAGAGCAGAGGCCGAAGCCAUUUUCACUGGCUCCAGUGUGUGCCCAUGUGUCCUCUUCCCCAUCUCUACUCCACCAGCUUCCUUCAUCCACCCCUGGGAAGUUCUCCUAGGGGCCCUUGCUAUGACCAGCUGUGAUCCACACUGCCCCCUAGGGCUACCUCCCUGACUUGUGUCUUGGCCACCCCUUGCUUCGGAACUUAGCAGUACUUCUUGCCCCAAAAAGCAGGACAAAGAAGGACUUCUGGGGCCACUGGUUGCAGCCAGUACUAUGUGAUAGCACUUCCACUUCCUCUAAGUUAGCAGCACUUUAGCCAGGAGGGGUUAGCGUUCCUUCCUCCUAAUUCCUCCACAGGUCUCCAUUUCCACAGUGCUCUCUAGUCUAGCGCUGCCUUACCCUACUUUCAACUUCCCCAACGUUUACCAAGCAGCCAAAGGGUAUUCCUGUAAAAGUCUGGAGCCAAACUGCUAAAAUACAUAUGCUCAUUCUGCCCAGGAGUGGCUUCCUAAGUGUGUCACUUACAUAGUGGCUCAGCACCCAAGCUUAGGAGGGCUCUGGGCUUGGUAAAAUAUUAAACUGCCACUAUUCUGAUAUUCUUUUUUUUAAAAAAAAAAUGAUAGUAUGUAUUAGUUGUACUAUUUUCAGGAAAUCCAAGGUAUAUAAAUAUUCAUAAACUAAAUCCAUACCCUAUACUAUAUAUAUAAAAAAUAAAUUCAAGCAGUGAACAUCAAGGAAGAGGCAGCAGACAGACUGUACAAAGAUGCGGAGGGGCGCUGUGACACACGGUCCUCUGGACUUGACGACCAGUGCGGUCAUAAACCUGCACAGCUGUGGUUAGCUGCACGGUCCUGCCACAGGGGGGGCAGACCAUCUCCAGGCUCCACUUCGUACGGAGAAACUAUUGACAGUAGAUAGUUGCUAGGGGAUGAAGACUCAUUCCUUUUUAGGAUGUGGCUACAAGCAGAUUUCCAGUGCUCUAGCGGAGUCCCCGCACUCAUACAGAUGGGCAGCACCAACUGCACUUGGGUCUUGAUUUAUAAUUCGGGCAGGCUUCGGGCCUCCAGUUGGUGGAAUUUAUAGGUAGGAGCCACCACCUGGCUCCAGGAAGCAGCCGCUCUGUGAGUUGAUCGUGUCCCACAGCUGUCACAUGACAGAAACGGCGACGUGAUUCACUUUCACUUCCCAUGAGAAUGUGAACUUUCCCAGUGGCCCUGCCCCUUCUUAGCACGUGGGCACAUCUGCUGGCCAUGGAUUAUGUGGCAGGACUCAAAAAGCCUGCUCCCACAUCUAUUGUUCCUUUCCCAAACGUCUUAGUAGUAAGCCGAGCCCAAGGCUUCUCGCACUUGAUAAACGAGAAGAGUAAGCAAGCAACUGGUCUAAGGGCCCGAAUCCACUUAGGAGCUUGACUGAAACCAAGAUGCCUGCAGCAGUCUGUGCUUCCUGGGACUCAUCCAUCACCUGUUUCCUUACCAAAGAAAAUGCUAACAGGCACAGCUGGUCUCUGAGGGGAGGGCUGCUUUUGUCACCCAGCUGUGGUUUCCGCUUCAGAUCCCAGGAUGCCUUGCUGUAGGGCUGGGUAGCCCCUACGCUACCAAAAAAGAAAAAAGAAAAAAAAAGAAAAAAAAGCUGCUUUACAUUGCUCUGCGGCGUUUAGGGGUUGGCACCCCAUUCCUGGUGGCGAGGCAUUGCCUUGCUGUUGCUAAGGGCAGCUUUCAAUCACCCCUUCAUUUAUUCCCACAGGCAUACAUUCCAAAUCUAGUAAUUUUGCUGUGAUCUCGAGAAGAAGGAAGUACGGGGGUGGAGAGAGAUGAAAAAAAAAAAGUGACAGAGGUAUUCAUUUUAUCCUUAGGGAUUAGGGGAAAGGCGGAAAGCUUUUCAGAGAGUCACAAUCAUAGGGGAAGUGCUAAGAGCCAGGUGUGGGAGCCAAGGAAGAGAGCCAAAGCCUGGAUAGGGCAAGAAAGAGACUGGCCCUCCAGGAGAGGGCAAGGGAAACUGGCAAGCGCUACCAAACAGGGCUUCUCCUCACCCCACUAUUUCUCCGCAGGUUUAGCCCUCCAUUAGGAAAAACCAUCCGGGAACGUUUUAUUUUCCUUGAUAGAUAGCAGAGGGGAGCAAAGAAGCUCACCCCGCUUUUGAGCGGGUGGCCACCCUGGUGUGGUCAGCUCGGUGUACCCUCAACUAGCUUUGGGCUUUCUACCACACCCGCACAACCAUUCCCUCCUCUUGGAACGCUGACCACCUACCUCUGAAGGCUCUAGCUAGUUUAACUACCUAGGGAAACCCUGGGACGCAGCAGCGAAUUCAGCUGCAGCCACUAGACUAUCGAGGUGGAGGGGAAAUGGCACUAUCAGUGCGGCCAGGGGAAAUGGCACAUCACCAGGCUCGCCUGGGGCACUGCUGACCGGUCCGAAAGCAAGUGUGAAGCACCAGCUGCGCGUGGAAACCAUGAAUUCUUCCCCCUCAGCUGUGGAGGUUUAAAGGGAUUAGGUGUGAACAAUGGCCAGGUCCUGCAAAAGUUAAAAAAAAAAAAAAGCCACAGGACUUCCUCUUAAAGACCUGCAGGUCUUUGAAGACAAUCAGACACAAAUGCUCUUUCAGAAAGGGACAAAGCAAAUAUCAAGCUGACCUUUUGCGAACAAUGUAAAUCGUGACAGUUUGGGGCAGCGGUGGAGGUGGGGUGGACACAAAAAGACUUUGCUUGCUACUGUGUGGCAAUCAGGCUUCUAUUCUUCUCGCCCUUGCCUAAGGCUGCCUUGUUAAGGUUUGCCGUUUAUUUUAAACGUGCCCAAGGUGGAAGGAAUCUAAAAUGGUUAGUGGGUGAGGGGAUUAAAUGAACCCAGGAGUCAAGACAGAAUGCCUGGAACCUCUCGGGUUUCUCAGAACCAGCUCAGGACCUGCCCGCCAGGACCUGGGGGGCAGAACCGGUAUCAAGAGAGUGGCUUAAAACUACUCCGGGAUUGAGUCCCAAGAAGCCAAGGGCAACUGGAGCCUGUGUUCCUGGACCAUGGUUACUCGGAUUUGGUUCAAGAAUAGCCGGGCGAUGGUGGCGCACGCCUUUAAUCCCAGCACUCGGGAGGCAGAGGCAGGUGGAUCUCUGUGAGUUCCAGACCAGCCUGGUCUACAGAGCUAGCUCCAGGACAGGCUCCAAAGCCACAGAGAAACCCUGUCUCGAAAACCAA